rnacentral:tRNA from 1 species
GGAAGGGUACAGCUCAAUGGUAGAGCACGUGCUUAGCAUGCACAAGGUCCUGGGUUCAAUCCCCAGUUCCUCCA